UAGGGAAUCUUCCACAAUGGACGAAAGUCUGAUGGAGCAACGCCGCGUGAGUGAUGAAGGUUUUCGGAUCGUAAAACUCUGUUGUAAGGGAAGAACAAGUGCGUUAGGUAAUGAACGCACCUUGACGGUACCUUAUUAGAAAGCCACGGCUAACUACGUGCCAGCAGCCGCGGUAAUACGUAGGUGGCAAGCGUUGUCCGGAUUUAUUGGGCGUAAAGCGCGCGCAGGUGGUUUCUUAAGUCUGAUGUGAAAGCCCACGGCUCAACCGUGGAGGGUCAUUGGAAACUGGGAAACUUGAGUGCAGAAGAGGAUAGUGGAAUUCCAAGUGUAGCGGUGAAAUGCGUAGAGAUUUGGAGGAACACCAGUGGCGAAGGCGACUGUCUGGUCUGUAACUGACACUGAGGCGCGAAAGCGUGGGGAGCAAACAGG
rnacentral:rRNA from 1 species